CUUAACGGUAAAAUGGCCUUCGAUACGGGCAGUCUUGAGUCCAGAAGAGGCCGGUGGAAUUCGUGGUGUAGCGGUGAAAUGCAUAGAUAUCACGAAGAACACCAGUGGCGAAGGCGGCCGGCUGGUCUGGUACUGACGCUCAGGCACGAGAGCGUGGGGAGCGAACAGGAUUAGAUACCCUGGUAGUCCACGCCGUAAACGAUGUGUGCUAGGUGUUGGCCCUUCGGGGCCGGUGCCGCAGCUAACGCAGUAAGCACACCACCUGGGGAGCACGUCCGCAAGGAUGAAACUCAAAGGAAUUGACGGGGGCCCGCACAAGCGGUGGAGCACGUGGCUUAAUUCGAUGCAACGCGAAGAACCUUACCCGGGCUAAAUCCGGGGCGACCGCUCCUGAAAAGGAGCUUCCCUUCGGGGCGCCCC
rnacentral:rRNA from 1 species